rnacentral:rRNA from 1 species
UACAGAGGGUGCGAGCGUUGUCCGGAAUCACUGGGCGUAAAGGCGCGUAGGCGGCCUGAUAAGUCGGGGGUGAAAUCCUGUGGCUUAACCACAGGGCUGCCUCCGAGACUGUCGGGCUCGAGCACAGUAGAGGCAGGUGGAAUUCCCGGUGUAGCGGUGAAAUGCGUAGAUAUCUGGAGGAACACCGGUGGCGAAGGCGGCGAUCC